AUCUGCAGCUGUACCACCCUGAACACGCCUGAUCUCGGAAGCUAAGCAGAGUCCGGCCUGGUCAGCGCUUGGAUGGGAGAACUGGGAGUGGGGGUGGGGCAAAAC
rnacentral:rRNA from 1 species